CACGUAGGGGGCAAGCGUUGUCCGGAUUUAUUGGGCGUAAAGAGCUCGUAGGUGGCUCGGUAAGUCGGGUGUGAAAUUUCGAGGCUCAACCUCGAGACGCCACCUGAUACUGCUGUGGCUAGAGUCCGGUAGGGGAGCGUGGAAUUCCUGGUGUAGCGGUGAAAUGCGCAGAUAUCAGGAGGAACACCGGCGGCGAAGGCGGAUCUCUGGGCCUUACCUGACGCUGAGGCGCGAAAGCUAGGGAGCGAACAGG
rnacentral:rRNA from 1 species